UACGUAGGGUGCAAGCGUUGUCCGGAAUUAUUGGGCGUAAAGAGCUCGUAGGCGGUCUGUCGCGUCGGCUGUGAAAACCCGAGGCUCAACCUCGGGCCUGCAGUCGAUACGGGCAAACUAGAGUACUGCAGGGGAGACUGGAAUUCCUGGUGUAGCGGUGAAAUGCGCAGAUAUCAAGAGGAACACCUGCGGCGAAGGCGGGUUGCUGGGCCGACACUGACGCUGAUGCGCGAAAGCUAGGGGAGCGAACGGG
rnacentral:rRNA from 1 species